rnacentral:tRNA from 1 species
GCGCUCGUAGCUCAACUGGAUAGAGUACUUGGCUUCGGACCAAGGGGUUGCAGGUUCGAAUCCUGCCGGGCGCACCA